UACGGAAGGGGCAAGCGUUGUUCGGAAUCACUGGGCGUAAAGGGUGCGUAGGCGGGUCUUUUAAGUCAGGGGUGAAAUCCUGGAGCUCAACUCCAGAACUGCCUUUGAUACUGAGGAUCUUGAGUUCGGGAGAGGUGAGUGGAACUGCGAGUGUAGAGGUGAAAUUCGAUAGAUAUUCGCAAGAACACCAGUGGCGAAGGCGGCUCACUGGCCCGAUACUGACGCUGAGGCACGAAAGCGUGGGUAGCAAACAGG
rnacentral:rRNA from 1 species